GCCUGCUAAUGCUACGGCUACUGCCUCCUACAACUCCUUCUACUGCUGCUACCACUGUUUGCCUUCUUCUAUUCCCAACAUCAAGCCUGAUUAGCUCGAGUAAAGUGAAGUAAUUGCUUUCUUCUACUGCUGCUACCACUGUUUGCCUAAUCCUAAUACUCCUACUCCUACUACUCCUACCUCCUACUCCUACUCCUACUCAUAAGCAUGCCCCUGCUCGUGUUACAUCCUACUUCCUCUGUCCCUAAUUACUUGUCCACUUUUGAAUUGGCACACCUAUUAAGAAAACAAUUAUUGACAUAGUGAGUUUAUCAUUUUACCCCUAUUAAUUAUGAAGUGAAUGAAUUAAAAAUUUAAGAUUUUCAAGAAGUUCUACAUUUUUCAAAGUAAUUAAUUGAGGUAUAAUAGAUAAAAAAAAUUGUCUUUUCUUGAUUUGUCAAAAUGGAAAGUAAUUAGGGACAACUAAAAAAGGAGAAGUGGACAAGUAAUCAGGGACAGAGCGAGUAUCUUCUACAGCUCCAGCUACUUGCUAC
rnacentral:lncRNA from 1 species